UCCGCAGGGUGAGAUCGUUACUCGGAAUUACUGGGCGUAAAGCGUGCGCAGGCGGUUCUAUAAGACAGAUGUGAAAUCCCCGGGCUCAACCUGGGAAUGGCAUUUGUGACUGUAGAGCUAGAGUACGGUAGAGGGGGAUGGAAUUCCGCGUGUAGCAGUGAAAUGCGUAGAUAUGCGGAGGAACACCGAUGGCGAAGGCAAUCCCCUGGACCUGUACUGACGCUCAUGUACGAAAGCGUGGGGAGCAAACAGGAUUAGAUACCACCGUAGUCC
rnacentral:rRNA from 1 species